rnacentral:rRNA from 1 species
CCUACGGGAUGCAGCAGUGAGGAAUAUUGGUCAAUGGACGAGAGUCUGAACCAGCCAAGUAGCGUGAAGGAUGACUGCCCUAUGGGUUGUAAACUUCUUUUAUAAAGGAAUAAAACGAGGCACGUGUGCCUUUUUGCAUGUACUUUAUGAAUAAGGAUCGGCUAACUCCGUGCCAGCAGCCGCGGUAAUACGGAGGAUCCGAGCGUUAUCCGGAUUUAUUGGGUUUAAAGGGAGCGUAGAUGGGUUGUUAAGUCAGUUGUGAAAGUUUGCGGCUCAACCGUAAAAUUGCAAUUGAUACUGGCAGUCGUGAGUACAGUUGAGGUAGGCGGAAUUCGUGGUGUAGCGGUGAAAUGCUUAGAUAUCACGAAGAACCCCGAUUGCGAAGGCAGCUUACUAAACUGUGACUGACAUUGAUGCUCGAAAGUGUGGGUAUCAAACAGGAUUAGAUACCCGAGUAGUC